AUUGAACGCUGGCGGCAUGCCUAACACAUGCAAGUCGAACGGUAACAGGCCCUUCGGGUGCUGACGAGUGGCGGAUGGGUGAGUAAUACUUAGGAAUCUACCCUGUAGUGGGGGACGAACCCGGGAAACGUACGGGCUAAUACCGCAUACGCUCUACGGAGGAAAGCGGGGGACCGCAAGGCCUCGCGCUAUUGGAUGAGCCUAAGCCCGAUUAGCUAGUUGGUGGGGUAAUAGCCUACCAAGGCAAUGAUCGGUAGCUGGUCUGAGAGGACGACCAGCCACACUGGGACUGAGACACGGCCCAGACUCCUACGGGAGGCAGCAGUGGGGAAUAUUGGACAAUGGGCGAAAGCCUGAUCCAGCGAUGCCGCGUGUGUGAAGAAGGCCUGCGGGUUGUAAAG
rnacentral:rRNA from 1 species